UACGGAGGGUGCGAGCGUUGUCCGGAAUCACUGGGCGUAAAGGGCGCGUAGGUGGCGCGGGCAGUCAACGGUGAAAGUUCGGGGCUCAACCCUGAAUCGGCCGUCGAUACUCCCGGGCUUGAGCACUGUAGAGGCGGGUGGAAUUCCGGGUGUAGCGGUGGAAUGCGUAGAGAUCCGGAAGAACACCAGUGGCGAAGGCGGCCCGCUGGGCAGUGGCUGACGCUGAGGCGCGAAAGCGUGGGGAGCAAACAGG
rnacentral:rRNA from 1 species